rnacentral:rRNA from 1 species
UGGGGAAUCUUCCGCACUGGGCGCAAGCCUGACGGAGCAACGCCGCGUGUGUGAAGAAGGUCUUCGGAUCGUAAAGCUCUGUUGAUUGGGACGAACGUGCCUAAUGCGAAUAGUAUUAGGUAAUGACGGUACCCAUCGAGGAAGCCACGGCUAACUACGUGCCAGCAGCCGCGGUAAUACGUAGGUGGCGAGCGUUGUCCGGAAUCAUUGGGCGUAAAGGGAGCGCAGGCGGGCAUGUAAGUCUUUCUUAAAAGUGCGGGGCUCAACCCCGUGAUGGGAAAGAAACUAUGUGUCUUGAGUACAGGAGAGGAAAGCGGAAGUCCCAGUGUAGCGGUGAAAUGCGUAGAUAUUGGGAGGAACACCAGUGGCGAAGGCGGCUGUCUGGACUGCAACUGACGCUGAGGCUCGAAAGCCAGGGGAGCGAACGGG